ensembl:snoRNA
CUGCAUCCACUAAUAGACAGGGAAUAGUUUGCAGCUCUUCUGGUUUUUACCAGGAUGCAAAAGUAAAGAAUCCCUGUGCUUUUUUCCCAUCUUUGUGAUGGCCCCCAUUGAAUUGGGGAGUAUGAUA